AACGAACGCUGGCGGCAGGCUUAACACAUGCAAGUCGAACGCCCCGCAAGGGGAGUGGCAGACGGGCGAGUAACGCGUGGGAAUCUACCCAUCCCUACGGAACAACUCCGGGAAACUGGAACUAAUACCGUAUACGCCCUUAGGGGGAAAGAUUUAUCGGGGAUGGAUGAGCCCGCGUUGGAUUAGCUAGUUGGUGGGGUAAAGGCCUACCAAGGCGACGAUCCAUAGCUGGUCUGAGAGGAUGAUCAGCCACAUUGGGACUGAGACACGGCCCAAACUCCUACGGGAGGCAGCAGUGGGGAAUAUUGGACAAUGGGCGCAAGCCUGAUCCAGCCAUGCCGCGUGAGUGAUGAAGGCCUUAGGGUUGUAAAGCUCUUUCACCGAUGAAGAUAAUGACGGUAGUCGGAGAAGAAGCCCCGGCUAACUUCGUGCCAGCCGCCGCCGUAAAAC
rnacentral:rRNA from 1 species